GUCUCUACAUUGUUUCCUACUCCAUUUUCUCUGGGGCAAUAGCAGAAUAGGAGCAAGCCAGCACUAGUCAGCUAACUAAGUGACUCAACCAAGGCCUUUUUUCCUUGUUAUCUUUGCAGAUACUUCAUUUUCUUAGCGUUUCUGGAGAUUACAACAUCCUGCGGUUCCGUUUCUGGGAACUUUACUGAUUUAUCUCCCCCCUCACACAAAAUAAGCAUUGAUUCCUGCAUUUCUGAAGAUCUCAAGAUCUGGACUACUGUUGAAAAAAUUUCCAGUGAGGCUCACUUAUGUCUGUAAAGAUGGAAAAAAAAUACAAGAACAUUGUUCUACUGAAAGGAUUAGAGGUCAUCAAUGAUUAUCAUUUUAGAAUGGUUAAGUCCUUACUGAGCAACGAUUUAAAACUUAAUUUAAAAAUGAGAGAAGAGUAUGACAAAAUUCAGAUUGCUGACUUGAUGGAAGAAAAGUUCCGAGGUGAUGCUGGUUUGGGCAAACUAAUACAAAUUUUCAAAGAUAUACCAACGCUUGAAGACCUGGCUGAAACUCUUAAAAAAGAAAAGUUAAAAGUAAAAGGACCAGCCCUAUCAAGAAAGAGGAAGAAGGAAGUGGAUGCUACUUCACCUGCACCCUCCACAAGCAGCACUGUCAAAACUGAAGGAGCAGAGGCAACUCCUGGAGCUCAGAAAAGAAAAAAAUCAACCAAAGAAAAGGCUGGACCCAAAGGGAGUAAGGUGUCCGAGAAACAGACUCAGCCUCCCUCUCCUGCAGGAGCCGGCAUGUCCACAGCCAUGGGCCGUUCCCCAUCUCCCAAGACCUCAUUAUCAGCUCCACCCAACACUUCUUCAACUGAGAACCCGAAAACAGUGGCCAAAUGUCAGGUAACUCCCAGAAGAAAUGUUCUCCAAAAAGGCCCAGUGAUAGUGAAGGUACUGAGUACAACAAAGCCAUUUGAAUAUGAGACCCCAGAAAUGGAGAAAAAAAUAAUGUUUCAUGCUACAGUGGCUACACAGACACAGUUCUUCCAUGUGAAGGUUUUAAACACCAGCUUGAAGGAGAAAUUCAAUGGAAAGAAAAUCAUCAUCAUAUCAGAUUAUUUGGAAUAUGAUAGCCUCCUAGAGGUCAAUGAAAAAUCUACUGUAUCUGAAGCUGGUCCUAACCAAACGUUUGAGGUUCCAAAUAAAAUCAUCAACAGAGCAAAGGAAACUCUGAAGAUUGAUAUUCUUCACAAACAAGCUUCAGGAAAUAUUGUAUAUGGAGUAUUUAUGCUACAUAAGAAAACAGUAAAUCAGAAGACCACAAUCUACGAAAUUCAGGAUGAUAGAGGAAAAAUGGAUGUAGUGGGGACAGGACAAUGUCACAAUAUCCCCUGUGAAGAAGGAGAUAAGCUCCAACUUUUCUGCUUUCGACUUAGAAAAAAGAACCAGAUGUCAAAACUGAUUUCAGAAAUGCAUAGUUUUAUCCAGAUAAAGAAAAAACCAAACCCGAGAAACAAUGACCCCAAGAGCAUGAAGCUACCCCAGGAACAGAGUCAGCUUCCAAAUCCUUCAGAGGCCAGCACAACCUUCCCUGAGAGCCAUCUUCGGACUCCUCAGAUGCCACCAACAACUCCAUCCAGCAGUUUCUUCACCAAGAAAAGUGAAGACACAAUCUCCAAAAUGAAUGACUUCAUGAGGAUGCAGAUACUGAAGGAAGAGAGUCAUUUUCCAGGACCGUUCAUGACCAGCAUAGGCCCAGCUGAGAGCCAUCCCCACACUCCUCAGAUGCCUCCAUCAACACCAAGCAGCAGUUUCUUAACCACGGUACAAGUUCCCUCUUCCCAAUACAUUCCCCUCGCUACUAUAUAAUGACAAGGAUGAACACAACCGUGAAAGCACCUCACCAAUCCCCUACUACAUACAAUGCUUUAAUUUAACCAAAUCAGUCAUUUAUUUAGCAAGUGUGUAUUUUGAGGUCCUAUCCAAAAUUAAAAUUCUGUUUUUAUCAUCUCUAUUCCAUAACAGGUAUAAUUAGAUGUUUGUUUAAUUUUAUUUUUCUUUUGGCUUACGUUUUUGUUUUUCCCUCAAUACAUCAUGAAAAUCAUACCUUAAAGUAGAAUAAGGUGGGAAAAAACAGAGCCACCCGUAACACUAUCACUGAUUUUUCCCCUUUCAUUUAUUAUAACUCAAACAAUAUGUUUAAAAAUUUAGGAAAGGAAGGUACAUAAGCAAAAAUAAUUAACUUUUAACUGUCAGAAAUCUCUAUCUAAUGCCACAUUUCAGUACAUGGUCUUUCUGAUUUUAUACCUUUCAGUAUGUAUAUACAAAGAGUCUUAUUUUCUCUCAGAGUAAAUCGCAUUCACAUAUUUUUCCAUAACCCAUGUUUUUUAUUAAUAUAUCUUGAACUGCCAUUCAAUCACACAAUAUAGAUUUAAAUUAUUUUAUUGUACUAGAAAAAUUGCACAGUUAUUCCAUACAUUAUAAAAAUGAUCAUUUUUUAUUUGGCUUUAUGUUGUUUCCAGUAUUCUGUGUAUUUACAACGAACAUAAUAAGAUCACAUGUCUCUCAGAUCUUCUUUCAUUGCCCUCAGAGUAGCUUUAUAAUUAUUUCCUUAGGUUCUGUGCACCUUCUGUCAGGGUACUGAUGUCAUGGCUAUUGUGAGGUGAUUUGAUACUGAUUAACUUCAUUGGGAAUGGGUUUCCUAAUGUUAUGGAAAAUUGGCCACAUUGAUGAGUUCAUUAGAGUUAAGUCCAUCAGAGUUAAAGCCAUCACUCACAGGUGGCCAAUAUCAUCUUCCAGGUCAGGACAGCUGCCUCCACGGACCAGCAGUGCUCAAUAUGACCUGACCUGGGUAGAAAGGAGUAAAACUGAGAUUCUUUUAAAAUCUCAUCUCUUUUGGGAGUCACUUCAUGGCAGCUUUGCCUUUACCCUCUGCUUCCCCAUACCUCUUGUUAGGGGAUAUGCCUUUUCUUUAUGGGUUAAUUCUCAUUAAAAAAGAAAUAUUCUUCCUUCCACUCUCAUAAAACAAUGAAGAUAAUAAAAUUACUCCUUACAUCUUUUUCAUUUCUUCCGUUACCUAAAUCAUACUAUCUCAGUGAUCUUUGUCUAGUUUUCCCUACUUUACCCAGUUAAGGUGAUACUUGAGGACCAACACUGAGGCUGAGAUGACUCACUAGAGAAUGACCCUGUAUUUCCUGUUUUAAUUGUGCCUGUUUUGGUCUCUACCUUCUAAGUUGAAACCAAGACUGAAGACUGAACCUGAAGAAGUUUCCAUAGAAGACAGUGCCCAGAGUGACCUCAAAGAAGUGAUGGUGCUGAACGCAACAGAAUCAUUUGUAUAUGAGCCCAAAGAGCAGAAGAAAAUGUUUCAUGCCACAGUGGCAACUGAGAAUGAAGUCUUCCGAGUGAAGGUUUUUAAUAUUGACCUAAAGGAGAAGUUCACCCCAAAGAAGAUCAUUGCCAUAGCAAAUUAUGUUUGCCGCAAUGGGUUCCUGGAGGUAUAUCCUUUCACACUUGUGGUUGAUGUGAAUGCUGACCGAAACAUGGAGAUCCCAAAAGGAUUGAUUAGAAGUGCCAGCGUAACUCCUAAAAUCAAUCAGCUUUGCUCACAAACUAAAGGAAGUUUUGUGAAUGGGGUGUUUGAGGUACAUAAGAAAAAUGUAAGGGGUGAAUUCACUUAUUAUGAAAUACAAGAUAAUACAGGGAAGAUGGAAGUGGUGGUGCAUGGACGACUGACCACAAUCAACUGUGAGGAGGGAGAUAAACUGAAACUCACCUGCUUUGAAUUGGCACCGAAAAGUGGGAAUACCGGGGAGUUGAGAUCUGUAAUUCAUAGUCACAUCAAGGUCAUCAAGACCAGGAAAAACAAGAAAGACAUACUCAAUCCUGAUUCAAGUAUGGAAACUUCACCAGACUUUUUCUUCUAAAAUCUGUAUGUCAUUGACGAUAAUGUUUAUGGAGAUAAGGUCUAAGUGCCUAAAAAAUGUACAUAUACCUGGUUGAAAUACAACACUAUACAUACACACCACCAUAUAUACUAGCUGUUAAUCCUAGGCAAUGGGGUAUUGGGAGUGCUUUUUUAAUUUUUCAUAGUUUUUUUUUAAUAAAAUGGCAUAUUUUGCAUCUACAACUUCUAUAAUUUGAAAAAAUAAAUAAACAUUAUCUUUUUUGUGAAAGGAA